AUCCAGCUUACGAGUCCCACACAGAACGAAAUGCGCGUCGUGCAU
rnacentral:hammerhead_ribozyme from 1 species